rnacentral:rRNA from 1 species
GAUGAACGCUGGCGGCGUGCCUAACACAUGCAAGUCGAGCGAGAACCGCUGGAAUGACACUUCGGUAGAAUGAAAGCGGGGAAAGCGGCGGACGGGUGAGUAACGCGUAGGUAACCUGCCCCAUACACAGGGAUAGCCUAGGGAAACCUGGAUUAAUACCUGAUGAAGCAACUGGUCGCAUGACCGGCUGCCAAAGAUUUAUCGGUAUGGGAUGGACCUGCGUCUGAUUAGUGAGUUGGUGGGGUAAUGGCCUACCAAAGCGACGAUCAGUAGCCGACCUGAGAGGGUGAUCGGCCACAUUGGAACUGAGACACGGUCCAAACUCCUGCGGGAGGCAGCAGUGGGGGAUAUUGCACAAUGGGCGGAAGCCUGAUGCAGCAACGCCGCGUGAGCGAAGAAGGUCUUCGGAUCGUAAAGCUCUGUCCUGGGGGAAGAAACAAAUGACGGUACCCCGGGAGGAAGCCCGGCUAACUACGUGCCAGCAGCCGCGGUAAACACG